GACGUAGGGCGCGAGCGUUGUCCGGAAUCAUUGGGCGUAAAGAGCGUGUAGGCGGUCCGGUAAGUCCGCUGUGAAAGUCGGGGGCUCAACCCUCGAAUGCCGGUGGAUACUGUCGGGCUAGAGUGCGGAAGAGGCGAGUGGAAUUCCUGGUGUAGCGGUGAAAUGCGCAGAUAUCAGGAGGAACACCUAUUGCGAAGGCAGCUCGCUGGGACGUUACUGACGCUGAGACGCGAAAGCGUGGGGAGCAAACAGG
rnacentral:rRNA from 1 species